AAUUACUUAUUGUUUACACGAGGAUUUGAAUAAUUAUAAUACAUCAUUCUAUAUUAAUUAGAAGUAUAUUUCUCAAAUUAUUAUAUAUUAAUAAUUCACCAUGGAAUAAUAACCAAAGUCACUGUCACGACCUUAAACCCAACCCGGUUGUGAUGGCGCCUCUCGUAAAGACAAUGCCAGUUGACUCACUUUCAGUCAAACUUCUCAAAAACCUUCAAAUUUCUAUCUUUAGCCAAAUGACUUCAAAAUGACCUACGGACCUCUGAAUUCACUUCUCUAAACUGCAGAAUCACCAUACGAAGCUAUUCUCAUACUCUGAAUCCAAAACAGACAUCGAUAACACGGAAAUACACUUCAACCCAAUCUUAUGAAUUUUAUUCCAUAAUAUUAACUUCCACAAUAGGCACCAAACCCGAUCCGGGCAUACGCCCAAGUCCGAAAUCAACAUACAAACCUACUGGAACCUUCAGAUCCUGAUUCUGAGGUCGUGUACUCUCAAAUUCAAUCUUAUCAAUUCUUUCAACUUAAAGGUUCCGAAAAGAGAAUUCCUUUUACAAAUCAACUCCGAAUUCCCCAGAAUUCAAUUCUGACCAUGCAACAAGUCAUAAUACCUGAAGUGAAGCUGCUCAUGGCCCCAAACUGCUAAAUGAUGCGCUAGAUCUCAAAACAACUGGUCGGGUCGCUACAUUCUCUCCCACUUAAACAUACGUUCAUCCUCGAACAUGCUAAGAACUAUGUUGGAGUUGUAUCAAAACAUUGCUUAACACCUCGAGCACUUACCCGUGCUACCACAACCUCGCUGGGCACCCUAGCUCGAUCAAUUUGAAGAUAUCCUUUUUCACUUAAGAAAAUAAGCCUUAGAGCCCAAUUCUUACAUCCGGAAUUCUUUGCCAGGCUUGUUCCAACAUAUGCUCCCCGAAUCAAUAACUACACGCAUCACCAAAAACAUGACUGCAUACCUUAGCUGAAUUCAUAACUUGCACCACUUUACUCACAGGACCACAAUAACAUUCUCUGAUCAAAUUAAUCAAAAUUCCACAAAUCUGAUGCUCCCAUUGAACCUCAUGACCUACAUAGGUCUUGAUCUAACUCUUACAAUACCACCACGAUGGAAGAGAUGUGUAGAAAUUCAUAACCAACAGCUGAAUCAACAAAUCAUUGGGUCUAUACUCCUAACAAGAACCAUUACCUCAUUCUGAACCAAGUAAUGGUCUUAGCUCAUUAAUAUUACUUCAUAUAAUCAGAUUGCAUUGACCCUAAAUCCAAUGAUCUCUUCUCACCAGCACAAACUGCUCAGGAAACAAGCCACCCCAAACAUGGCCAAAAGUCUCAUAUGAUGCCACAAUGUGCCAAUAGACUGCUAAC
rnacentral:lncRNA from 1 species